rnacentral:rRNA from 1 species
CCUUGUACACACCGCCCGUCACACCAUGGGAGUGGGUUGUACCAGAAGUAGGUAGCCUAACCGCAAGGGGGGCGCCUACCACGGUAUGAUUCAUGACUGGGGUG